rnacentral:rRNA from 1 species
UACGGGGGGAGCAAGCGUUGUUCGGAUUUACUGGGCGUAAAGGGCGCGUAGGCGGCGCAACAAGUCACUUGUGAAAUCUCCGGGCUUAACCCGGAGCGGUCAAGUGAUACUGUCGUGCUAGAGUGCGGAAGGGGCUACUGGAAUUCUCGGUGUAGCGGUGAAAUGCGUAGAUAUCGGGAGGAACACCAGUGGCGAAGGCGGGUCUCUGGACAGUUCCUGACGCUGAGGCACGAAGGCCAGGGGAGCAAACGGG